AUCUGAAGUCAGGCAAGAGUACGCGCUGAACUUAAGCAUAUCACUAAGCGCAGGAUCAAAAAUAACUAUGAUUGCCUCAGUAGCGGCGAGCGAAGCGGCAAGAGCCCAAGAUGAAAAUUCCUGUCCUUUGGACUUGAAGAAUUGUAAUCUACAGGACGAUCGCUGACAGGCUCCCUGAAGCCCAAGUGUCUUGGAAUAGACUGCCAUGGAGGGUGAAAGCCCCGUACGGCAUCGGGGAAGCGCUAGGCGGCGUCUCAAGAGUCGAGUUGUUCGGGACUGCAGCUCUAAGUGGGAGGUAGACUUCUCCUAAGGCUAAAUAACUAUGAGAGACCGAUAGCGAACAAGUAAUGUGAAUGAAAGAUGAAAAAUUUACUAUCCGUAAGAACUUUGAAUUAUACAAACAAGAGAAUUAAAUAGACCUGAAACCGUUGAGGAGGAAGCGAUAGGUCGUUUUCGUUUGGCAUCGAGCGAGCAAAGCAUAGACGAGCCUGCUCGUUGCCAAAAAGCAAGAUAGGCUCUACCCGCGUCACAACCUUCCACUGGGCCAGAGCUUCGGCAUCACUCAGGGAGUGGCCGUCGCGGGUGGGGUCGAGGGACUUCGUGUGAUCUUGCUAAACUUGAUAUUGACCUACCGACCCGUCUUGUAACACGGAACAAGGAGUCUAACAAAUACGCGAUUAUGUUGGUGUUCUUUGAAACCAGACAUGAGCAAUGAAAGUAAGCGGUGCCAAUCGCAAGAUGCAGCAUCGGCCGAUUGUGAUCCUCUGGAGAAAUGUAUCGGCUACGAGCGUAUCUGUUAGGACCCGAAAGAUGGUGAACUACGCUUGGGUAGGGUGAAGCUAGGGGAAACUCUUGUGGAAGCCCGAAACGGUUCUGACGUGCAAAUCGAUCGUCAAACUUGAGUGUAGGGGCGAAAGACUAAUCGAACCAUCUAGUAGCUGGUUCCCUCCGAAGUUUCUCUCAGGAUAGCAAGGACAGUUAAAGCAGUUUUAAUUAGGUAAAGAAUAAAUGAUUAGAAGCAUCUGGGAGUUUUUAUUUUGCUCUCGACUUAGUUCUCAAACUCUAAAUAUUUGUAAUAACUCGGUAUUUCUUAAUUGAAGAUCGAGGCAGAAUGCUUGUCCUUAGUGGGCCAUUUUUGGUAAGCAGAACUGGCGAUG
rnacentral:rRNA from 1 species